CACAAGAAAUAUUAAAAUUAGCAAGUAGCAUAAGUGUUUCUUUAAUCAUUAGGCUGGACGGUAUGAGGACCGUCCAGCAACGUCGACCUUGAGACGCCGCCCCCCUCUCCAUUUCGCCCCUUCCGUCGCCGUUCCUCCAUCGUCGCCAUCGUCGGGUUCUCGACGCCAAGGACGGUCCUCCCCACACCAAUAAACCCCCAAAUCCAAAAUCAAACCAUUCUCCCAAAUCCAAAAUCAAACCCUUUGAAGAUGGCGGCGGCGUUGUCUCAGUGGCACCGAUUGACUGAGUUGAUAAUGGUGAUGGAGAAGGGUGGUAGUGGUUGAGAAGAUGGUGGUGGAGCCGACGGCAAACAUUUAGAGAAAUAAGUAUGUUCCUCAUCAAUUUUCCCCAAUUUUUCUUCAAUUUUUGUUGGUCAUUUAGUUUAUAAUAAGCUGAAGGAGAGGUCAGGGGGUAUAUUGCACGAGGUUUCGCUAGAAGUGAGGAGAGUAAGCAGAAAAUUGGCGGAGCCGAAGACGUUUUGAUCGGCGAUAUAACGAACGCCGCAACUCUGGAACCGGCUAUUCAAUGCACGGAUGCUAUUGUCAUUCUUACCAGUGCUGUUCCUAAAAUGAAACCUGGUUUUGAUCCAACUAAAGGAGGAAGACCUGAAUUCCAUUUUGAAGAGGGAGCAUACCGUGAGCAAGUAACUGUUUAUCGCUGCUCAAGAAACUUCGUUUCCUAUAGCCGGCUAGGUAACAACUCUUUGGCGGGAACUAUAUCAUAUUCCUUAACUACCAUAGGUGCGCUACAAGUUCUUGAUCUUUCAAACAACCUGUUGACAGGAGUUGUUCCUAUCAAUGGCCCCUUUUCGCUGUUCGAAGACAUAAGGUUUGCUGUAGCUGAUAAUAAGAAUAAUUUGGAUCAUUAUGUAAUUUGCCUUCAUCUUUUUUUAAGUUUAUGUAAUGUGUUUUUAAUAUUAAUGAAAAUAUUUAGUUAAUUU